AGAGUUUGAUCAUGGCUCAGAUUGAACGCUGGCGGCAGGCCUAACACAUGCAAGUCGAGCGGCAGCACAGGGGAACUUGUUCCCUGGGUGGCGAGCGGCGGACGGGUGAGCAAUGGCUGGGAACCUGCCCUGAUGUGGGGGAUAACAGUUGGAAACGACUGCUAAUACCGCAUGAUGUCUACGGACCAAAGAGGAGGACCUUCGGGCUUCUCGCGUCAGGAUGGGCCCAGUUGGGAUUAGCUAGUUGGUAGGGUAAUGGCCUACCAAGGCGACGACCCCUAGCUGGUUUGAGAGGAUGAUCAGCCACACUGGAACUGAGACACGGUCCAGACUCCUACGGGAGGCAGCAGUGGGGAAUAUUGCACAAUGGGCGCAAGCCUGAUGCAGCCAUGCCGCGUGUGUGAAGAAGGCCUUCGGGUUGUAAAGCACUUUCAGCAGUGAGGAAGGUGGUGUGGUUAAUACCUGCAUCAUUUGACGUUAGCUGCAGAAGAAGCACCGGCUAACUCCGUGCCAGCAGCCGCGGUAAUACGGAGGGUGCGAGCGUUAAUCGGAAUUACUGGGCGUAAAGCGCAUGCAGGCGGUCUGUUAAGCAAGAUGUGAAAGCCCCGGGCUUAACCUGNGAACCGCAUUUUGAACUGGCAGGCUAGAGUCUUGUAGAAGGGGGUAGAAUUUCAGGUGUAGCGGUGAAAUGCGUAGAGAUCU
rnacentral:rRNA from 1 species